CGGCUCCUACCGGCGCCGGCGGGGCGCACAGCCCAGCGGUUGCCUGGGCUCUGCAGUUUGCAGCUCCGGGGUGCCCGGGCACAGGCGACCGUGGAGAGGAGAGGCCAGGAUGUGGGAGCACCGCACGGCACAGCCAUUAACUGGCGCGGCUCUGGACUGGAAUAUCGACUGCAGAAACGAGGACGCGCAGCUGGGAGCUCUGGAGGAGCUUGAGACUCCCUCCAGAAACGUGCCAGGCGCGGUGUUGGGAAUCCACCUAGGUGUUCACUCGGGAAAGAUAAGGCUGCGCCGCUUGGAAGGGCUCCACCCGCGUCCCUGCUGUACUUUGUACCCUGGAGAGUUGGCGGGUUCUGGCAGACGAGAGUUUAAAGGCUUGGGCGGGCGGGGACGCCAGCUCUUCUAAAUCCAGGUGAGGAGCUGCCGCCGUGCGAUGACCAGACCUGUCACCAACCCCAGGAACGGCAGGGCGACAUUCGAGUUUUUCCGGGAAGAGCUAGGAUGUCAGCUCUUUCUGAGGCUUGAUUUGUGAGCUGGCUCUGGGUCACGUGCCCAAACCAUUAGGAGAUAUCAAUGUAGGCAAGCCUGAAGCUCACUGACUUCAUUUAAGAAUCAAAACGGUUUUCCCGUAAGAAAGAAUGUAUGUUCCGUUAUCAGGAUUUUAAACGAACCCUGGGACUUACCACCAUUCUUACUCUAGGGUCUCUUUGGCUUUCCAACUGUUCCUGUGGAAGGAAGAAUCACACUCCAUGCAACUU
rnacentral:lncRNA from 1 species